UCUGCUGCAGUUUGGACAUGAAGCUCUCGAUGUCGUCGAAGCAGUGAUUGAGAAUGCCCUGAGGAAGAGGAAGUUGCUCUUUUAACACUCUCCUCGUGACUUGCAGGUGACGAGACCGGACCGAAAAGGGUGGGAGGCGUACCACUUCUCUCUCGGCUCGAAGUAACGAGAUGUCAGGUCCUCCGUUGGCUGUUGCGGGAGAGAUAGGGCAGCGAGUGUACCUGAUUGGGUCGGGAAUGUUCUUACUCUUGCUGGACUUGGAAACAGCCUGCGUGAUGAUGUCGCACAUUUCUUCUGCCUGUGAGAAUGACAAAUUGAAGAAGAGAAUGUCCGGCUUCUUCUCGUUGACGCUUUGGCACACGAGGAGCAGGAGGGAUGGGAAGAGCUCCUUGGAGUGAAUGGACUCGCAGCGGAAAAUGGAGUUGAAGGAGUAGUUCUCCAGCUCCUCCUGCAUAACAUAACAUAACAACAACGGCUGUAUCUCUCUGUGAUUCCGUAACCAGGUGAUUACGCCGCGAAAGCGAGCUGCCCGACCGGUUUGACGGCAACACAGUGUCUUUCCGGCCGCCUUAUUUAUAGGGCUCAUCGACACCGCGUGUCCUCCAAUCGUGGGUAUCGCCUCGUGCUCAUUAGUAUCGCUCGCACUUCCUUCGCCUGCACAGACGUUGCUAUGAAAUUACCGACACGUGCAAGCUCAGCCAAGUAGAGUGCCGAACGGCAGAAAAUCCCUUCAUAGGCCCACAUUCCACAAAAACGAUUCAAGUUCUAAUUAAUUUAAAAAAAUAAAAAUAAAAAAAAAUUAGAUAUAAAAUAUUGACUUCCUUCUUCUAUUUAGCCCCACAAAUGGAAAAUAGGACCACAGGCACCCAAGAGGUUAAAAACAUUCUUUAAUAAAGACAAAAAGAAUGUAUUGUGGUUUUAAUUUUUUUUUUAAAUAGCACUCUAAAAUAUUGUAUUUAACAUGCAGUAAUGAUAUAAUUAAAUAGAUUGUUUAAAAAAAAAAAAAUGGAACUGUUUUUGACAGUUUUGUUCUUCAGUUCAAUGGAUAUUGUACUGCUCCUUCUGGGGGCAGUGUAAUGCGUUGUUGUUUUUCAAAGGCAGAAAGCAGUGAGCGUGCGAACGUCAGGAUGUUGGAUUUAAGGUAAUCCAUCGUUACGGUUCUGGCAAUAAUAAUUCUGAGAAUUCAUUUUAUUUAUAGGCACCUUUUAAGUCACUCAAGGUCAACAACGGCGUUGAAAGAAUAAUCACACGCACUUCCUUUCGCAUUAAAUUUCACACGGCUAAUUGAGGCCAGAAUCGGUCUACAUUGUGGUUUUAAGUUUUUUUGUUUUUUAAUUUAUCCCCCCCAGUGUGAAAGGUUUUUGUUUUUUUUAGGUUCAUGCUUUCUCGUCUUAGUUUUUUAAGGUGCUGACGUCAGCAUGUUUGAUUCCAGCUAAUCCUUCUGACAAACUCUCGGGGCACAAAUAUGUGGCGCAAAACUAACAAUUUAGCCGUCAAUGACGAUAAAGGCUUUCUGUUUUAUGCCUACCUGACAAACCGCAUGAGACUAAAAAUAGAUCCGACAGCGACAUAUGUCAUUACGUUACAUGUUCAACUCAACCAAAACGUGCCCUACUGGCUGUUUCCUUAACUAUUUCAAAAUGUUAACUUA